GCUUAAACCUUUCCUCUAUGUUGCUCUCUCACACUAUAUUCUUUUUGGUUUAGUAAUUCACCCCUAAAUCCUACAAAGCCCUGCCCUAUUUUAAGUAUUGUAACCCCCGAUCACCGAUACCCUGUCCGACUGACGUAGGGCCCCGUAACGUAUGUCAAGGCUCUGCCUAAAUUCGUUGGGGUUCUGUCUCGUGACGUAGGGAUAACAUGAAAUUGGGUUACCAUACUUAAUGUGAGUGCACUAUAUAUUUUAUUAAAUAACCCAGGAGUGAUACCCGAAAUAUAACAACUCUCCAAAAACACAAAAACACCUCUGAUACCCUACACUUCCUAAAAUACACCCCGUAUGUGAAAACCGAGCCCGGAAUACAAUAUAGCAUUUAAAAUAAAUUAAAAACAAGAAAAUAUAAGUUUACGCGGGCCGCGUAAAGAUCCUCGCUUAGUUAACGCGGGCCGCGAAAGGUUAGAAAGGUGGCGCAGCCCUGGGCCGCCACGUGGCACAACACCCGUCAAGCCUAUACCUCAACUCAGCAUAGCUAUACGUUGACUUUGGGUCAACGCGGGCCGCGUAAGACCUGUUCUUAUUUGACGCGGGCCGCGAGAGAGUUCAGUAUCAGCCCUAUAAAUUGGAUCGUCGAGCCUUCAGUCCGAUCGUUCAUUUCUUUCUUUCUCUCUUAAUUUCUGGGUAGUAGAAGUAAUACCCGGGUAUAAUGCCCCCCUAAUUAGCGAAGCUCUGCCGCGUUACUAUAACCAGGGAAUCACAAAGGAAAGCCCUAUAAUAGCAAUGUGAGUGAUCCUUCUUUUUAUGUACUCAUUUUUGUAACUUAGUGUGAAGCCAAUAAAAGCCAGCUGGAGAGCACUGAAGGCUUGGAAAAGUGGCUAUAAAGUUACCUAAAAUAAAAUAGAUGUUUUUAUUAAUAAAAAUAGGAUUUAUUCCUAUGAAAGUGUGUAUACUGAAAACUUGGGUUUUACCCAUGUGUUUAAUAUUAUGAAAAUAUGGUGGUUUUACU
rnacentral:lncRNA from 1 species